GACAUAAAGAUUUAACUUAGUGAAAUAUUUACUCACCUUCAUGUCUUGUUGCGAGAUUGAUAACAGCUUAUUCUCGAGUUGUUACAGCUUUGUGUCAUUCGUCCGAGCAAAUAACUCAGCAAGAGUGUCCCACGUCUCUUUGGGGGUCUUUGCAUCCUUAAUGCAUUGCAACAAUUCAUCCUCUGUUGCAAUUGACAAAGCAUACAUAGCCGAGCCCUAACCUUCCAUUUCUUGAGGUCUUCGAAAUUUGUUGGGGAUGACGUUUCAGCUCCUCCAACAAUCUUCCAUGUGAGAAAAUGGAAAAAAAUAUUUGAGAAUGAUUGAAGAGUUUGAU
rnacentral:misc_RNA from 1 species